GAUGAAGAACGCAGCGAAAUGCGAUAAGUAAUGUGAAUUGCAGAAUUCAGUGAAUCAUCGAAUCUUUGAACGCACAUUGCGCCCGCCAGUAUUCUGGCGGGCAUGCCUGUCCGAGCGUCAUUUCAACCCUCGAACCCCUCCGGGGGGUCGGCGUUGGGAUCGGCACUUACCUGCCGGCCCCGAAAUACAGUGGCGGUCUCGCCGCAGCCUCUCCUGCGCAGUAGUUUGCACACUCGCACCGGGAGCGCGGCGCGUCCACGGCCGUAAAACAACCCAAACUUCUGAAAUGUUGACCUCGGAUCAGGUAGGAAUACCCGCUGAACUUAAGCAUAUCAAUAAGCGGAGGA
rnacentral:misc_RNA from 1 species